ACCAACCAAGCGGAUCAAACGAACUACCAGUAAAGUUUAGAGCUCUACAGCUACAAACAAAACAUACUCCCUUGUUUUGAAGAGCUGUAUAUUUUAAUUUUGAAAACUUCACUUGAAUUUCAAUCCCACUUUCGUAUCCCAAAACUCUCUCUAACACUCUACUUCGCUCUCUGGUUUUUCUGUUGUUAAACAGCUUGAAAAAUUGCAGUUAAAGGAUCAACUUCUGGUGGUGGAUCUGGGAGGCAGUGGUUGCAGUGGACUUCAGAUGUUCAUGACGAUUUUGUGAAUGCUAAUUUGCAACUUGUUGGACCAGAGAAACUGAUGGAUGGAUAUCCUGUCUGGAUCUGAAGACUUUUUCUUCUUAAUGUGGAGGAUUGAGGGCUGUCCAAAUUAUAAAGGUGCAAUUAUCCGGUUGAAACUAGAUCUUUGGUACAAGACAUGCUGAUAUUGAGUUGAUGUACCUGAUUUCUCAAAGCGAUUGCAAAGUGUCUUCAUUUUUGUUGUAAAAGUAUUAUCUUGCUAAGUUGUUGCCAGAAUCUCCUGGUAAAGGUUCUAAGUAGGAAAGUCUCUGGAGAGAGCCUGUCUGGUGAGGAUUUCUUCCAGGGGAGUGCAAAUUAAUGAAGCACUGACUUUACAAUGGAGGUUCAAAAAUGUCUUCAUGAGCAGCUUGAGGUGCGAAGACAGUUACAAGUUAGAAUUGAAGCUCAGGGGAAAUACCUGGAGAAGAUCAUCGAGGAGCAGCAGAAACUUGGAGGUGCACUAAAAGCCCCUAAUGUGGUAGCAUCAGCAGAUAAUAAGGGAAAUUCAUCACAAUCAGAGCCUCCUUCUGAUGCCCCUGCAGAGUUAUUUGCUUCCUGAAAUAUAGGGAUGAAUAUGAUAAUUGUGCCCCUUACUGGUGUCACAAAUUUGUUUUUUGAAAGCAUGAUUACGGUGGUCAGAUUAAAGUUGGUAUGGUUCUGAUGUGAGUAUAGUGAGAUCCAUUGUAUUGAUUAGGACUCUCUGAGCUGUGUGUCGGCUUGUUAUGUUUGUUACUCUAGUUAAAAUGCUUUACUGUGUAAAUUGUGAAAUUUAAUCUAUUGUAUUAAUAAUUAUUUUAAAACAAUUUAGUUUUCUGUUUCUGCUUUAA